rnacentral:lncRNA from 1 species
UAGCAAACUAGUGGAAACAUCACAGGAGACAGGGAACAUUGAAAACACAGAGUUGCAUACAUAAAACCUCCAAGUAUAUCUGGAAUCUACUGUUUCAUAAAAUGCAAUAAACAUCUUUUAGCUCUCAUUAAUAAGAAAUUUAUUUUGUUUACAGAACCCACAUGCAGACAUAGUAAAGAAAAAAACAAAUUUCUUUAUAGUCUUAUAGAGCUGAACUGAAACUCGCUCACAGACACAUUUCCCCUUGACACUAGUGCCUUGGGAGCCUCAAGGUAGAUGAGACCUUUCCUAACAGAAGCACACACAGACACAACCGCCACCUGAUUUCUGCCUACGUUUCCACUGGCAAUCCUAUGCUUAGCUACCUUUGGACCCCAGGAGGGAAAAGAAACCAAAACGGAACAAAACUUCUCACAUCAGAACUACCAGUUACGAGGGGGAAGAGAAAAAAGGAAACACAACCAAACAGAAAAGAAGUCCUCUAGAGUGCAACGUUUCCCAGGAGCGUGGGCUCUUACGCACCCUCUCCGCGGAUGCGGCGGGCCAGUUGCAUGUCUCCGGGCAUAAUUGUGACGCGCCUGGCAUGGAUGGCACACAGGUUGGUGUCUUCAAAGAGGUUCACCAGGUAGGCCUUGCUGGCUUCCUGCAGGGCCCCAAUGGCCGCACUCUGGAAGCACAGGUCCAGGCUGAUGACCUGAGCGAUCUCGUGCACCAGGCGCUGGAAAGGCAGCUUGUGCAGGAGCAGCUGCGUGGACUUCUGGUACUUUCUGAUUUCCUGCAGCGCCAGGGUGCCAGGCUUGUAGCGGUUCACCAGACCCUCAACCUCAUCAGGACUCUGAAAACCAAAUUAAUUCCCUGGGUUCUGCACACACUGAAGAGGGGGAUCAACCUCUGGAGUCGGCCACAUGGGGUGGAUGCUAGGUGCGAGUUAGCUAAAAUUCUGGGGGCCAAAGACAUUCUGAAUGUUUACAUUUGAUGAUCGUCAUGGAAGUCAUCACAAUGAAAAAGUCAUGUGACUAAAGUCACACGUAGACGACUUCAGUGACUGCUACACCACACCAAGAGGUGUGAUCAUGAGACAUCUCUCAGGUUCUCUCAGGAUGAGGGGAAACGGGGAGGGAAAGAUGGAAAACUGAAAUGGUCACUCCUCUCUCG